AGCACAUAGAGUCCAAAUAUAAUGGUAUCUAAAAUAAAAACUAGUCAAGUUUCAAAGAUGAGAAGGCUAGUUUAGUCCAAAAUAAUAGCACAUGUAAUGACGGAGUAUUAACCAUCAAAAUAUAAAAACAUGUAAAUGGGAUAGAAGAACUCUAAAUUAAUGAUCAUCGCAAGCCUCGUGAUCAGGUGAUGAUGAUGAAUGAGUAGUUGGAACUCUAGAACUGCCUAUUCUAGCUGUAGCACCUGGGAUUAUCUCUUCUAACAAGGCGAGGAUAAGCUAAUUCUAGCCUUUCAAGUUAUGCACAGCUUUGUGAAGCUCGGUGUGUUCUCGUUGAGUCGUGUCUACACGAGAUGUAUGUGGAACCUUUGGAGCCCUGCCCAAACAACUAUAGCAGCAAAAAGUUGUGCAAGGACUUGAUUCACAAUGUCAUUAGCAGUGAGUUGUACUCCUUGGCUCUUACUCUUCAGUCUUCACUCCAUUAACAUGUGCUUGUUGUGUUGUCUGUAUGACAAGUCCUUCUACUUGACAAUGAAAAGUGUUGACACAAAUAAUGUAGAAUAAUAUUUAUUCCAUCAAGUAACACUAAGGUUAAAGACUUAUAGUAUUUGUUCAGUACAUAUAUCUCCUUAGUCAGAAGAUGGAUCCAACCUUUUGUAUCCUUGUAAUGUGUGUAAUGUAGGUGUUACAAAAAUAUGAUGUCAAUAACAAAAAACAAAAAUAGAAUUAAGAACUAAAUAAUAAUCAUAAAAUUACUUGUCUCUAUUGGCACAAUGACUAGUGCACACUAGAUGGUAGAUGCAGACUAUCUGCCAGGUUGAGUGAUCACUUGCAUGAUAGGUCCAUUCAUAGGUCUUGGGGACGGUGACUUCUUCGGUAGUAUUGGAAUAACCUGGAUUGGUGGAGAUUGAUUUGAAUGAAGAUUUUAAGUUGAAUAGUUCAAUGUGGUGACGAGAAGAGACGACAUAUAAAAAUAUUUACACACUCAACAUCAUAAAUUCAUGGGACUUGAAACUAAUUAAUGAUUUGAAAUAACCAUAUUUGACGAUCAUAAAACCAUCCAAAAGAAAAGUUACACACGAAAUUAGAUUUGAGCACACCAUAGCAAUCAUGCAUUUAUGUUGAAAAUUAAUUGUUGCAAGAAAAGUAACUAUGCAACAAUUACUUGAACUACAUCUUGUAAAUGGCUAUGUCAAAAUCUAAUUUCUUGUUUCGAUUUUUCAUAACCAUUCAAAAAUGCUAGAAAAAACUAUUCCUGUACAGGUAGUUGGUAUCUAGCACACAAAUAAUUAGGGAAUUAUGAAUAGAAGACAAAUUUAAAUUAUUCACCUGCAUCUUCUUUGAAUUAUCAAGCACAACUUUUUGAAAAAAUAUUAUCCUCAAACACAUGGUUGUUGUUUUACUAAUCUCUUUCUAUUCUGGUAACCAAGCCAGAGCUAUAAAAGUUCAACAAAGGGAAUAAUGGUAGCUUCAUACAUAAAAUGACCUGCACUCAAAUUUUGAAUCAUAUUUUUUUAGCAGAGAGCACCAAAGAUUGCAUGAGCCUUAGAAAUCUUUUGUUUCACUAUCACGUCACAAACCUUAACAAAAUGAGAAAUGAUUUUCAAGGAAAUGCAAGCUGAUGCUUACUUUAG
rnacentral:lncRNA from 1 species